rnacentral:rRNA from 1 species
UACGAAGGGGGCUAGCGUUGCUCGGAAUUACUGGGCGUAAAGCGCACGUAGGCGGAUUGUUAAGUCGGGGGUGAAAUCCUGGAGCUCAACUCCAGAACUGCCUUCGAUACUGGCGAUCUCGAGUUCGGGAGAGGUGAGUGGAACUGCGAGUGUAGAGGUGAAAUUCGUAGAUAUUCGCAAGAACACCAGUGGCGAAGGCGGCUCACUGGCCCGAUACUGACGCUGAGGCACGAAAGCGUGGGGAGCCAACAGGAUAAGAAACCCUUGGUAGACCGAGU